CUGUUUUAUUUUUUAAAUACUUUCUCUCUUCAAAACACCUGCUUUCUUUACACAUUGACUUCUAAAGGAAGAGAUUAAUUUUUAUUGGCAAGAACAGAAAAGUUAGUGUCAACAACAAGAAAGGAGAAGCUAUGCUCUAUAGAAGAGCUGCCUGCUACAUAAAAUAAUACCCAGGAAUAUCAACCCAAACCCACAGAUCCAAGUGAGGCCAACCCCGUUUUCCCACAUGAAAGCCACAGUGUGAUAAACCUCACUCCCUUGGAAUCGAGCUGCAGUUCUUAUUGUACCCAUGCGGCUACAGGACCCCAGUCCAGGGUGGCUGGAUUUCCAUUAGAAUUGCCUGUCCUUCACUGCCUUCUCCUCCACCCCUCCUGCGCCCAAGUCCAGUUAUUCAGUGAGUUAUAAUUUGGCACUAAAAUUCAAUUAAGCUGAAACUUUGGUCAUACGUGGUCUUUAUCUCAGCAAAGCAUAAUUUCUUUGACCCAUUUUCCAAACAUCAGCUGAUCGAUUUGAAAGCGGACAGAGGUAAAAGUUGAUUUCAAUCGCGCUCACAUUUGUAGAAAGUGGCUGGAGAAAAGAAAAAAAAAAACUUUUAAAACUUAAAAAAAAGAAAAACUUCAAAUAAACAGGAUGGGGAGUUACUUAUGAAACUGCUUGAGGUUUUCAUAGCCCUUGUCAAACGGAGACCUCGGCCCGCUGGGCAGACUUUAAUUAAUGUCCACUCCGGCCCUGCAAGCCAUUUUCCCAAUGGAAAUUCCGAUGAGAAAGGAAGGAAUGCGAGGUUCAAGGCCGCGCUGUUGUUGAGUGGGCUGCGGAACUGGGGACUGAAACCCCGCGGUUCCCCCAUGAGCCGCGAAAGUCUGUGGAAGUAUUGAGCACCCCUAUUGAGGACUGUGGGAGUCUGGGCGGCUUAAUGGGAUUGUGUUCGGUGCUUCAGGCUGUCCUUUAAAAGAUUCCAUGGCACCAGCGAAACUCCAAUAAUAGGGCCUCUCUAAUUGCUUUCUGACUUUCUAUGAAACUUUCUAAGCUAUGCUGACAUCCUCGACUACAACGACGGAAUUCAAGAGUGGAGAAAGGCGAGACAAAAAGUAGCUCCAGAAUUUAAAUGUACAUAUCACAGUCUACUGUCAAAUGUUGUACUUCACAUGUAAUGAUCUGAAACCAUCCGUGGGGCGGUUGGACGCACGCAUCUACACGUGGCUUUCCAGGGUGGCGUCUUCGCCGCGCGCAGAAAUCCUGUUCUUCAGAGCCCUUUGCCGCGUUCCACCGGGCCUCCCCCACCCCCACUGUGCCCACCCCCGCUAAUGGGCUUGUUUCCGUGAACACUGAAGACGAAAAACAUGCGAUUUUGAAUGUGUCUCUUUCACGGCCACACAUUUCUUUUCAUUGUGCGUCUGGGCUGAGCCACGCUUCCAAUUCCCAGGGACCCUCCUGGGCCCCGCUUGCAGAGGACUCUGCAGUCCGACAGCCUCCCCCGAGAGCCAGAGGUCGCUGGACCCUGGAUUGCGUAGGGUAUCUCUGAAAGCACUCUCAAUA